GACAGAGGGUGCGAACGUUGUUCGGAAUUACUGGGCGUAAAGCGCGUGUAGGCGGCAGCGCAAGUCGGGCGUGAAAUCCCACGGCUCAACCGUGGAAGUGCACUCGAAACUGCGCAGCUAGAGUCCUGGAGAGGAAGGUGGAAUGCUUGGUGUAGAGGUGAAAUUCGUAGAUAUCAAGCGGAACGCCGGUGGCGAAGGCGGCCUUCUGGACAGUGACUGACGCUGAGACGCGAAAGCGUGGGGAGCAAACAGG
rnacentral:rRNA from 1 species